GAAGGGUGCAAGCGUUACUCGGAAUUACUGGGCGUAAAGCGUGCGUAGGUGGUUCGUUAAGUCUGUCGUGAAAGCCCCGGGCUCAACCUGGGAAUGGCGAUGGAUACUGGCGGGCUAGAGUGCGGUAGAGGAGAGUGGAAUUCCCGGUGUAGCAGUGAAAUGCGUAGAGAUCGGGAGGAACAUCAGUUGCGAAGGCGGCUCUCUGGACCAGCACUGACACUGAGGCACGAAAGCGUGGGGAGCAAACAGGAUUAGAUACCCUGGUAGUCCACGCCCUAAACGAUGCGAACUGGACGUUGGGAGCAACUAGGCUCUCAGUGUCGAAGCUAACGCGUUAAGUUCGCCGCCUGGGGAGUACGGUCGCAAGACUG
rnacentral:rRNA from 1 species